UGGGGAAUAUUGCGCAAUGGGGGAAACCCUGACGCAGCGACGCCGCGUGAGCGAAGAAGGCCUUCGGGUUGUAAAGCUCUGUUGUAAGGGACGAAUGUCGCGAUCAAUAAUACGGAUUGCGAAUGACGGUACCUUACCAGCAAGCCCCGGCUAACUACGUGCCAGCAGCCGCGGUAAGACGUAGGGGGCGAGCGUUGUCCGGAAUUACUGGGCGUAAAGAGCACGUAGGCGGGACCUUAAGUCAGGUGUGAAAGACCGCGGCUCAACCGCGGGGUUGCACCUGAAACUGGGGUUCUUGAGGGCAGGAGAGGAAAGCAGAAUUCCUGGUGUAGCGGUGAAAUGCGUAGAAAUCAGGAGGAAUACCAGUGGCGAAGGCGGCUUUCUGGACUGACCCUGACGCUGAGGUGCGAAAGCGUGGGGAGCAAACAGG
rnacentral:rRNA from 1 species